rnacentral:rRNA from 1 species
UACGGAGGAUCCGAGCGUUAUCCGGAUUUAUUGGGUUUACAGGGUGCGCAGGCGGUCUGUUAAGUCAGCGGUCAAAGCCCGGGGCUCAACCACGGCCCGCCGUUGAAACUGGCAGUCUCGAGUUGGAGAGAAGUAUGCGGAAUGCGCGGUGUAGCGGUGAAAUGCAUAGAUAUCACGAAGAACUCCGAUUGCGAAGGCAGCUUACCAAACUAUAUCUGACGUUGAGGCACGAAAGCGUGGGUAGCAAACAGG